rnacentral:rRNA from 1 species
CACUCCUGCGGGAGGCAGCAGUGGGGAAUAUUGGACAAUGGGCGCAAGCCUGAUCCAGCCAUGCCGCGUGAGUGAUGAAGGCCCUAGGGUUGUAAAGCUCUUUCACCGGUGAAGAUAAUGACGGUAACCGGAGAAGAAGCCCCGGCUAACUUCGUGCCAGCAGCCGCGGUAAUACGAAGGGGGCUAGCGUUGUUCGGAUUUACUGGGCGUAAAGCGCACGUAGGCGAACUAUUAAGUCAGGGGUGAAAUCCCGGGGCUCAACCCCGGAACUGCCUUUGAUACUGGUAGUCUUGAGUUCGAGAGAGGUGAGUGGAAUUCCGAGUGUAGAGGUGAAAUUCGUAGAUAUUCGGAGGAACACCAGUGGCGAAGGCGGCUCACUGGCUCGAUACUGACGCUGAGGUGCGAAAGCGUGGGGGGCAAACAGGAUUAGAUACCCUAGUAGUCCCAUGAU